GCUGUACGUCAUUACACAGGUUAAAGGUAACGUUAUUUUCGUUGGCUGCACAUUGUCCACCCAAUUAUUUUCUUUCCAUAAUUUGUUGCAAUAUAAUCUACUUAUGAUGUUCUUAUUCGUAACAUAUUGGUGUAAUCAUUUCUAUUGACUGUAUAAAGUUCAUCAGUACAUUCUAUUUCUCACUAUUCUAUAGUGAUAAUCUACACUUAAAUGAUUAUAUACAUUAUAUGAUCAUUGGCAUAGACAAUUGAUUGUCAGUGAUAAUUUCUCUUUAGAUUGUAUAUAAAUAAUCUGCACAUUGACUAAGAUAUUCAGUGAUGCUUUUUUCUUCUUCCUUUUACAUUUUAGAAAACGGUCAUUGCCUCUGCUAUGUAAGUAUUCUUUUUGAUUCACGCUUUCCAAAUUCUCACACACCUCUGUAAUAUAUAAGAUGGGUUGUUUUUGGUGAUUAUUUUUUCAUCUUUUUUGUUUUUCUCUUAACAGCAUAAAAGAAACCCAAAGGCUCUUUUAAGAGCCAUCUGCCCUUCUGCAAUCACAGGUGUGUACAUAUGUGUUGCUGUCACUCAAGUUAUUUUUUAAAACUCAUGCCCUGCUCAUCCACUCAGAUGAGGCAAGCUUCACAUUCUGCUGGUUUCAUGUUUCUUUAUUAUUUUAUUUUAAUAUGGAUCUUUUUUUUUUUUCAAACAAACUACAACUAAAUUUCCCAAAAUUAUUGGUUGAGUAUUUCUAGAAUUGAGAUCAUCAUGAAUUUAUGAAUAUCUUCAAACAAAUGUUUCCAAAGAAUGUUUAUUUAAUUAAUUUUUGUAUAGUGUUUUUUUUAGAACAUUGUUAUGAUGAUCUCUUUAUUAAAUUGUUUUUUAAUGCCUUUUUUCUUUUGUUUGCAGUGCUGGUCAUCUUUGGUGACGCUCGCCAUUGUUGGUCAUCUCUGGAGAAGCUCACCAUUAGAUUGGAAGUUGUGUCCAUCUAGCUUGCUAACGCAUCUUAAAAAAAGAGCCAGUUAACCCAAACUUUGAACCCAAAAACCAAACCCAAACUUUUGAACCCGAAAACCAAACCCAAACUUUUGAACCCAAUAACCGAUUGAUUUACAGUGCCAGACAGUCUUGAAAGAGGGACCAUCUCCAGUCUUCUCUGCUUAUCUUCUGCCCUGCUGAUCUCCAGCCUGCCCUGCUACCCCCCUGAUCUGAGGACUGCGUUGGAGAAGCACACACACACACAGUCAUUUGUUUGAUAACCAACUGUUUAGCUUCACAUUACAUAGGGUUGUUUAUUUUCUAUAAUCUUAUCACAUAUUUAAAUAAAUUUAGCUUGUUUAGUUUUUGUGACUGCUUUGAACCAGUUUGUAUUAAUAAAGUCCAUUUUCUGUUCAGUCUUGUAACGUCUAUAUUGUAUAGUUGAUUUCACAAUUUUUUGGGUCUAGUUUUAUAAACUGCUCUAAUAUUGUUUGGUGAUAUCAGUGGUUAGCCUUUUACAACUGUCUUUUAAUGAUUACCAUUUAACCUAAGUUACAGUUAUAGAAGUAAUAACUGGUUUAGCAUUGCAUUAGGUAAGUUUCUGUGUUAUUUAUAAUCAAAUUUAA